rnacentral:rRNA from 1 species
AUUGAACGCUGGCGGCAGGCCUACCACAUGCAAGUCGAACGAGUGGCGGACGGGUGAGUAAUGUCUGGGAAACUGCCUUAUGGAGGGGGAUACCUACUGGAAACGGUAGCUACUACCGCAUACCAUCGGAUGUGCCCAGAUGGGAUUAGGUAGUAGGUGGGGUAACGGCUCACCUAGGCGCAGAUCCCUAGCUGGUCUGAGAGGAUGACCAGCCACACUGGAACUGAGACACGGUUGAGACUCCUACGGGAGGCAGCAGUGGGGAAUAUUGCACAAUGGAGGGAACUCUGAUGGAGCGCCGCCGCGUGAACGAAGAAGGAUUUCGAGUCGUAAAGUUCUUUUAUAUGGGAAGCUGUACCAUAAGAAGAAGCCCCGGCUAACUACGUGCCAGCAGCCGCGGUAAUAC